rnacentral:tRNA from 1 species
AAUUAUGUGCCUGAUUAAAGGGUUAAUUUGAUAGAUUAAAUAAUGAUAUAUUUUUAUUU